rnacentral:rRNA from 1 species
GACGAACCGUGCGAACGUUGUUCGGAAUCACUGGGCUUAAAGGGCGCGUAGGCGGGUGACCAAGUCAGGGGUGAAAUCUUUCGGCCCAACCGGAAAAGUGCCUCUGAUACUGGUCGUCUUGAGGGAGGUAGGGGUCGAGGGAACUGGUGGUGGAGCGGUGAAAUGCGUAGAUAUCUGGAGGAACACCGGUGGCGAAGGCGGCAUCCUGGACCGACACUGACGCUGAGGAGCGAAAGCCAGGGGAGCAAACGGG